GCCUGCUCAUGCCAGUAAAAGUAUAUAGGAUUUUACAGAUAAAGUAGCUAUUUUUAUUCCUACAAUUCUAGAAGUUUUCCUUGGAGAAGAUAUCCAUUGUAUGUUGGCUGUAUCCUAGAGAGAUGAUCUGACAUUGGACAGGAGAACAGGAACACAGACGAGAACCAGGAUCCGAGGGACAGGUGGCAGGAACAGGAACACAACAGGAACCAGACCUCAGGAACUUCAGUGACAGGUAAGUAGAUCUUCAGUAUGUUGUCUUCUGUCUUCUAUUCUCGAUCUUGUCAUCCUGCAUGCUGAAUGUGAAUGCUGUCUCACGUGAUGAUGGAAUAGGUG